rnacentral:rRNA from 1 species
UAGUAACGGCGAGUGAAGCGGGAUGAGCUCAAGCUUAAAAUCUCUGUGCCAGUUUGGCAUGGCGAAUUGUAGUCUAUAGAGGCGUUGUCAGUGCGGCUGUGCGGGGUAAGUUCCUUGGAAGAGGACAGCAUCGAGGGUGAUACUCCCGUUUGUACCUGUGCGGCUUGCGCGUACGACACGUUUUCUUCGAGUCGCGUUGUUUGGGACUGCAGCGCAAAGUAGGUGGUAAAUUCCAUCUAAAGCUAAAUAUUGGUGCGAGACCGAUAGCGAACAAGUACCGUGAGGGAAAGAUGAAAAGAACUUUGAAAAGAGAGUUAAAGAGUACCUGAAACUGCUGAAAGGGAAGCGAAUCGUAUCCAGUGUCUAUAAUCUGCGGCAUAUUUCAUUGGCGGCGGUGCGCGUGCUUUUGCGUCGGAAGCGGCUUUUGUUGCUCUGUGCUUUUGCUGUGCGUGUUGUUGCUGGUGCCCUGUGUUGCGGUGGGACGUCAGAGUCAGUUUGUAUGCUGCGGGAAAUGGCUGCCGAGGAGGUAGGUCAGGAUUUCGGUCUUGGCUGUUAUAUCUUGGUGGUUUGUUGUCGUGGUUGAGACUGAGGUGCCUACAAUGUGCUUUUGAGUGUGCCGGGUUCUCAUUUGGUGGACUGUUUGGAUAGCUUGCUAUGCUUGUGGUUUUUUCAUCGGGUGAUUGAGUCUGGUGGUAACUUAUUGCCGUUC